rnacentral:rRNA from 1 species
AGCGAACGCUGGCGGCAGGCCUAACACAUGCAAGUCGAACGGACCUUUCGGGGUUAGUGGCGGACGGGUGAGUAACACGUGGGAACGUGCCUUUUGGUUCGGAAUAGCUCCUGGAAACGGGUGGUAAUGCCGAAUGUGCCCUUUGGGGGAAAGAUUUAUCGCCAUUAGAGCGGCCCGCGUCUGAUUAGCUAGUUGGUGAGGUAAAGGCUCACCAAGGCGACGAUCAGUAGCUGGUCUGAGAGGAUGACCAGCCACAUUGGGACUGAGACACGGCCCAAACUCCUACGGGAGGCAGCAGUGGGGAAUCUUGCGCAAUGGGCGAAAGCCUGACGCAGCCAUGCCGCGUGAAUGAUGAAGGUCUUAGGAUUGUAAAAUUCUUUCACCGGGGACGAUAAUGGCGGUACCCGGAGAAGAAGCCCCGGCUAACUUCGUGCCAGCCGCCGCAGUAACAC